rnacentral:lncRNA from 1 species
CUGGAAAUAAUCCUUCCUUUUGUUUUGACUUCCUUGGCCCGCCCCCUUUCUGCCUUUAAAAAAACCUUCCAUUUUUGUACAGAGCCUCGGAGCUCCUUUCUGUUAGCUGGAAAGGAUGCUGCUUGGUUCAUGAAUCAUGGAAUGAAGUCAGUUAGGGCUUGAAAUCUACUCAAUUUGUUUCUGAACCCGUUUUGGCUUUCUUUCUCUGAAAGGUAAAGAGCCUCUUGCAGGACGUGGCGCUUCUGAAUAUGCCCCUCACAACCCCCCAAAGCCACCGAUCGCCAGCAGAAGCAAGCAGCAAAGUGGCAGGAUUACUCUUCCUUCUGAAUGAGGGGUGCUACAACCCAGAAGCGAGGCCCUGGCACCCCUAAAGGAAAGCAAAGUAAGGUUCGCUGCUGCCCGGCCCCGGCCCGCCGGCCGCGUGGCGAGUUCGAGGCCCGAGUCCGCUAGCCCCGCGGCCGCUGACACCUGCAGCCCCGAGCCCGGGAGAUGGUGUCCCAGUCGGCGGGCGGGCCCGAGGCCCCCGGGGAGGCCCGCGGGAGGGCCGGCAGGGGCCCCGGCGACCCGGGCGGCCCGCGCAGCUCCCCGCACCUCGAGCGGCCCCGCUGCGCGCCCGACGCCAGGCUGCGGAGGCACAGGGCCGCCUGGGUGCAGCCGCCGCCCGCGCAGCGCCCGGGGCCCGACUCGCCCUCCGCGGGGGCCCCGGGGCGCCGGCCGGCCUGUCCCCGGGGCAAGGGGGGCCCGGAGCCCCGGGAGCUGCCCCCCGCCCCGCCUGCGCCCCGGACCCAGGGCGGCGCUGCUCCGCCGCCUCCAGCGCAGGAAGGUGCUGUGCAAGGAAGAACCUUGAAUCCCUUCUCACCAGAGGCAUUCCUGCUCCCUGUCGAUGUUGAAAAGGAAAACGCCCACUUCUACGUUGCGGAUAUGAUUAUAGCGGCAAUGGAGAAGAUCAAGUACGCCAUCCUGAGUCAGCAGCACCCAGACCCCUGGGGUGAGGAAGAGGCCAGGGGGGCACCCGGCAGUGGUCACGCUGAUGCUGAGACGACCUUCUAUAGCAACAUGAAGCAAGGAUCUGGGUCUUCCAACUCUUCUGACAGCGGCUAUGAAGGUUGUGCUAUGUUACAGGGCAGCCCGGUGGCUGGGACACCCACUUACGGUGACGUUCUCAAAGAAGCCUGUAAAUGUGACUUUGAUGACUUUGUUGUCGUAGAACUUGGUGAGUUUAGCAAUAUCACAGAAACCUGUGGAUGCUCCUGCAGCUCUUCCAAGAGUAUCGUUUAUGAGCCAGACUUCAAUUCCGCUGAGCUAAUAGCCAAAGAGUUGUACCGAGUAUUCCAGAAGUGCUGGAUGUGGUCAGAAGUUCAUCAUCAGCUGGAAGGUUCUCCCAAUGCCGCUGGCUCCAUAGUUGUAAAUGAAGAACGUGUCCGGAAAGACUUUGAAUCCAGUGUGGAUGUGGUUCAGGAAAUUAAACUUCAGUCGAAGAUCAGAGAGGCUGAAGACUGGGAGCCCCCCCGAUUUCAAAUCAUAUUUGAUGUUCAUCCACCACUCAAGAGGGAUCUCGUGGUAGCAGCCCAGAACUUUCUGUGUGCUGGCUGUGGCACGCCGAUAGAACCCAAGUUCGUGAGGCGCCUGCGGUACUGCGACUACCUGGGCAAGUAUUUCUGUGACUGCUGCCACACCUACGCAGACUCCUGCAUCCCGGCCCGGAUCCUGAGCACGUGGGACUUCAGGAGGUACUACGUCAGCAACUUCUCCAAGCGCCUGCUGGACAGCGUGUGGCACCAGCCCAUUUUCAAUUUGCUGAGCGCAGGCCACAGCCUGUACGCCAAGGCCAAGGAGCUGGACCGAGCCAGGGAAAUCCAGGAGCAACUUUUUCAGAUCAAGAAGCUGUUGAAGACCUGCAGGUUUGCUGAAAGCGCAGUAAAGGCAUUUGAGCAGGUGCCGAGGCACUUGACCGACGAUCUCCACCUGUUCUCUCUGGAGGACCUGGUCAGGGUCAAGAAGAGGCUGCUGGUGCCCUUGCUCAAGGACAUUCUCAAAGCUUCCCUUGCACAUGUGGCCAGCUGUGAGCUGUGUCAAGGAAAGGGCUUCAUCUGCGAAUUUUGCCAGAGUACAGCCGUCAUCUUCCCAUUUCAGACCGAAACGUGUAGACGAUGUGCAGGGUGCAGAGCUUGCUUUCACAAGCAGUGCUUCCAGUCCUCCGAGUGCCCCCGGUGUGCCAGGAUCACAGCCAGGAGAAGACUUCUGGAAAGUUUACCCUCUGCAGCAACAUGAGCCCCUGACCACGGUGGAAAAGACUGUUCAACAUGCCUUAUAACACCGAUUUGUGUCGAUUAUUGACAAUCGUGUUUCAG